CUUCCUUCAGACAAGCGGAAGCCAUUGCUGUGCAGAUGGAUGCCAUUCGACACUCCAUUGGUAGAGGUUUUUCCAUUCUGCACUUCUGAAGAUAUGUAUGCACAGGAUGACAGCAGUACCAGUGGCAUAUUCCAUUCCAGCACUGGGUUCAGAAAGAAUAAUGCUGAGAAACAGGAGCCCUGUCGUAUUCAAGAGAGAGUGAAAUGUGAAUUGGAAAACCAGAACAGAAUGUGGUUCAAGUUUGAUCCGUCGUAGCAUAACAAACAAAUCCCUAAUACCAAGCAUUUAGUCCGAAAGAAUCAGAAAGAAGCUUAAAAAAUCAAUCAGAUUACCCACAGAGAAGUUGCUAUACCCAUUUUCAAGAAUGCACAACAACAUAUGGUGACCCAAGCACGACUGAUUGCGCAGCUUUCUGCCAAACUUUAGCCGUCUUCUUACCUGUUCCCCUCCCAUGUUGACUAAGAGCUCAGUGCCAUCAGGACUGAAGGUGACAUACGUGGCCACCAGAACUCUCAGACGGUUGUUGUAGUCCGGAAGCUUCACUGGAAGGUGCCCUGUGGAGAGAAGAGGUCCAAACGUAUUAGCGUAACUAGUAACCAUUGUCUUUGUCCUACCCCAGCUGCUCCCUUUUACAAGAGGCUGUUAGGAGAGCAAUGCCAUGAAGCGCAUGCACCUAAGUGAUUUUCCGUUUCCUGCUGCUGUUUAUUGAAUCCUUCCAUCAGCCACCAAAACACGCAGAUGUGCAUAGCUGCCUUUUCACAGGUUUUAGGUAUCAAUUCUAGAAGGCCAUUUCUGAAGAGAAGACUGGAUUAUAACUAGCUUGCUUAACAACAAAGUCUGCAGAACCCAGCAGUUCUCUGUUUUAGUGAUUCACUACGGGUUUGGCUUCUGUGAUUUGCAGCCAUCUGCAAACAAAUACCUCCAUCUUCAAUCCUCUAAUCAGGUUUCCUUAUUAAAGCUCUUAGCACAACCAAACCAAGGCUCCUAAAUAUUCAGCUCACACACAGGUUCCUUUGCUUCAGACAGCAGAUGUGUUGCAUGACCAAUUCAGGGGACCUAAGAAAUCCUCUAGCGGGACUCAUCAGAAGCAAGACUGUCAGAACUGGUCUGCUGAACAUGCUGGUCUAAGAUACUUUAAAAAAUCCAAACAUUUGGGGAGGGGGGGGAAGAUCGUAAAUAAUGAGCACUGGAGAAGAAUGUCAUCUAGAUUGCCCAGAUACUGCAUCACUGAUUCUUGAUCUGCAGGAUGAAGACAAGCCAAUGCUCCUCUGUGCCAAAAAGAUUUUGAACAGCAGCCUUGCUGGGACUGGUUCCAGGAGAAAGCCUAUAGCACCCCUGUUAUUCAAUCCUUGACUUUCCAACAAAAGUGACAAAAAGACAUUUACGCUAGACAAGAAGUAAGGCCAGCUCACCCAUACGCACCACUGCCAAAUCAGGGAAAGUGGGCAGGUAACAUAAGCAAGAAUUCACAGCACAGAAGUGAAAUAAUCUGCAAUUCCAUGGAACAUCCCUGUAUUAGAGAAGAGCUCUUCCAAGCAGUCAUUUCUUGUGUGAUGGGUAGAACUCUGCUUCGUCAGGCAUUAACUUUAAGUCCCAUCAGUCACCCCCAGCACAGGUCCCAAUACCUGCCACGUAGUACUGCGCCGCGCCGUCCGGGAGGGGUUUCUGUCGGUCGCAGAACGUGUGUACUCCAGCUGAAGGACUCUGCUUCAUGCUUUUUCUAGCCAGAAAGAAGAGUAGUCUUAUAAUCACAGCAUUCAACUGCUGGAAGCCUGAUCUAUGCUGACAAAUCUUGUUCGCACACGACGGCAAGGCCUCGUGCCUGUACAGCUGGGCAGUCACAAGCCUGCCUCACAGUCCCCGCUGUACUCACACAGAUCAAAAAGACUCUGAGGGUCAUAGAAAAGACUGGGUAAAACCGCACGGUGAGACAGGCAACCUCCAGAUCAUUGAAACUCCCCCUUCCCACCAGAGCCUCGAACAGAUUUCUGUGCCACUCACAUCUGCCCAGAAAAGCCACACUGCCAUUACCUGUGGUUGUGGAUCAUGCGUAUGUCGUAGAGCCGCACAAAGGGUCCACUUGCCCCUACUGCUAAGUAGUUGUUAUCUUGGGGGUUGACCGUCAGGCAUUUGGCCUCCACCAGCUGCCCGCAGUACUCCGUCAGGUCUAUCAGGACUUCGGAACGUUUGCUGUUCUCUCGCAGGUCGUACUGUCUGCAAAGGGAAGAGAAAGUCAGGCAAUCCGCGUCACUAGACAACAGAAGCAGCAAUAAGAGAGGCUAGCUCUCCACGGUGACCAAACUGAAGACCACUUAACGCAGCACAUUUACACCGCUCAGCAGCGACCUACACUUAAUUAUGUGGCUUAUGCACAAAGAGACGAUACUAACGACAAUAACUUUCAUUUGUGCCACAGAUCACUGGAAGCAUCUCAGCUCAGUGUACACUAGGCCUCAAUAUCAUGCUAACCAUUAAAACCAGCUCCCUAAUGUGCCCAGAUUUAUUCAAGUUCCAAACUCAACUCCAAGUCACAACCUCACAAGCAGUAGCUCGUAUGAAAAGAGGAACAGACUCUCGUAGUAACAUUAGUCAUUUAAGAGUCUCAAUGACUCUGGAGGGAAACAUUGCACAGUUGUAUCUCCCUUCCAUUUGACAUUGCUCUUCCUUUCUCAGCCUCCCUUUUCAGUGGAGGAAAACAGAGGAGCUGAGGGGAGUAUUUAUGAGAGGACUCUACAUUUCAAGAUGAAACCUUCCAGUUUCAGGAAAGAGAGAUUAGCUCCAGCUCUUUAGUAUAGAGGCAGUCUCUGUUCAGAUCUGUGCAUACAUAGUACAUACUGCAAUGGACCCUAAUCCAAUAAAUUUUGGGGCAGAACAACUGGAGUUCUGUACCUGAUCAGUCCGUCUUCUGCUGCACUCCAGAAGGUGUUAGGCCACAUGGGAGCCGUGGCAAUCCGCUUAACUCGGUUGGUGUGAUCUCCAAACAUGUGGAUGGUCUCCUUGACAGUCAAGUCAUGGACGUGCACCUUGGAAUCUGCAGCUCCCGUGAUGAGGAUCCGAUCCCCCGAAUGUGGCAAGAACUGUGGGAGACAGAUUUGACAUUCAAGCUUGAGAAGUCCUGAGGCUGUUCACACAGACAUCGCUGAGCUGCCCUGGCAGGUCACAGAGCAGCUUGCUUUAGGAACACUUUUAUUUAGGAACAAUGUUAUUCAGGAUGACCCACGUUAUUACCUACAUUACACAUAUGCCAGUGUGCACACUCAAGAGUCACCAGCUACAGUAGCACACACACACACACAAAAAAAAGAUCUUCCUUGCCCAUCCCAAUUUGCUACAACCAUUUCCUUUCUUACAGAGAGAAUGAAAUAAGCCUGGGAGCUGCAUAAACUAUGAAGUGCCGGUAUUAGAUCUAAUGCAUUUUUUCCUAACAUUAGAUAAAUUAUUGAGGGAGCAAGGGGAAAAAUUGCUUGCAGGAAAAUGUUUCUCAGCAAGGAUCCAUCCUCUUGCUGCUUAGGUUGCUGAUUUUGUUAGCCAUUCAUUCCUUCUAACCAUAUACCUUGACAGAAAAGAUGUUUGCAGUAUGUCCCGUGUGCAUAGAAAGGAGUUUCUUGUGGUGCAGAGGAUCCCAGACAAUGGUAUGCUGGUCAUCAGAGCCAGAGGCCAACAAGCUAAAAGCAACAGAGAAGUAUGCAUCAUGUAUUCUUCUGUUCUAAGCUGUGACCAAUUUCUUAGAGUGGUUUGACCACAGACAGCCAUUAAGUUAAUUCAGCUCGAAUAAGCCCACUUCCUCUCUCUUUUCUCAGCUCUGUGUUCUUGUUGUUCCCCAUGUGCCAAUCCAUUCAGCCAGUUCAGGGAGCUAAACCAGCCACAUAGCAGCUCCACAGAAAAUAAAGCGAGUGGUUUUCAUUGGUUUAGCUCAUUGAACCAGCUCACCACAGAUUCAGAUGGCACAGGGGAAAACAAUAGGAGCAUUUGGUCAACAACAAAAUGCAGGGCCUCCAUUUUCCUUAUUAGCCUGGCUGCAUUAACUGUUCCACAUCAUCCCCAAACCCAAGCCAAAGCAUUCAUUCCUGGAGUUCGGAUGUGCCCAUGCAGUCCCAAGCCAGGGCUUAUUUAGUGAUUCACAGACUGCUUUUUAAGUGCAGGGUGUGGCAGCGGUAUUGCAAAGCGCUGUUUGCCCUGUACAUCUGUAUUCAUUUGAAGCAAAAGAACCUGACAUCUGCAACCAUCAGCUGUUUUAAACUUAUUUCCUUAUAGCCAGAUCUCUUUCGAAUACAAGAAACUUUCACUGGUAAAUAACUCUGAAGAGUAUCAGACAGCAGACUGGAUCUUGUAAGAGGCAUGUCAAGAAAUAUGUACUCUGCCUUCCAUCCAGUCAUUUCUCUUGCAGUAACUCUUUGUUCCCCUUGGUUAACGGAAAUGCUCCCACGUCUAGUUUCCCUCUAAAACUGCAGAGAAGGGUAUGUGCUCUGCCUCCCUCCUUUAUAUAUUUUGUCCCCAGCAGCUUUUAACAGCACAGUGAUGGGGGUGGGGAAACGUCACUACCAGCUGGACAAAUCCUAAAGAUCCAUUAUAAUCCAUAAUACCAUUUACGAGAAGAGAAGCAGCCUUCAAUCUCCACUUCUUAGUCUGACCAUUUCCCUUCUGAACUCACUAAAGGGGCAUUUAUAAGAAUAUCCAGAUAUAUUUAAUAAAAGAAAGCUUCUUUUGAAGCGUGAGCUCUACUACAGUUCAAAACUUUGAGCUUGAGCUCCACUUUACUAGGAGUGGGAAGCAGCUGCUUAUGAUAAGAUGACCUACAUCCUACUCUUGGGAAAACCUUGGGUUAUCAGUUUGCUGAUCCCCUGGAUCAAGCCACAUACUUACUCUCCUUUUUCAUUCCAUUCUAGACAGUUGACACAGCCAGAGUGACCCUGAGAGAAAAAAAAAAAAAGGGGGAAUGGUAUUAGACAAACUUCAGACUUAUCAAACAGAGCUGUUCUAAGACAAGGACACAGUGAGCUCCCAACACUUAACAACUUGUUCCAAUACAAGCAGGUUUUUUAAUUCCAACCCUGCAAAAAAAAAACCACCCACGUGGCAGAGAAGCACCUCCAGAAAAGACAGACAUGCUAUAGCAGUUGGGGUAGAAACAGCAAAAUGAAACAAAUAAUGAAAAUUUAAAAGUAGUGUUGAAUAAAAUGGCAUUUUAGUCUCAGAGGCUACAGAUGAAAUCCUGCUGUACACAGGGAAAGGUGACUUUGCUUCAAAAGCUCUUGGCUAGGCUGACAAAUUACAUGCAGAGGUUCUGUGGGAACACAGGGAAAACGCACUUUUGAUAACUCUCUUAGAAGCACCUUGCUGCUGGGUGACUGUAUCACACGUCUUCACCCAAAUUAACCAACAACUCUACCAGGAAAGACUAAGAGAACAUUGAGUAGAGUUUGAUAUGGGAGAUGCGACUGGAAAGGGGGAUGAAAGAAUCCUUUCCUCCCCCAAACCAAGACAACCUGAAGAUCUUUUUAAGCUGUGUCAGACUGCAAUACAACCAAUUUUUUAGGCAACACAUUACAUCCUUCAGCAUUAGAGCUGAAUAUCGUGAACAGUUGACAGUUGCCUUCUUCAGGCACCACUGCUAGGAUUAGCUGACCCACACCCAUUAAAGGCUGGCUUGUAGGUGCAUUAGGUAAUGCAGAAAGCUCACAAAAGAUCUCACUGAGCUAUUCCUGGCUCUAAUGCAGUUUAGGGGACUAAGUAAUCAGUAUCUGUCCCAUACAAGAGAGAGAAUUAUGUACUCUCCCGCAGGCUGCCCUUUUUGCAGUAAGCUGUACAAAAGCGUCUCCAUUUGCUCUUUAAACACUGCCUGCUUACCUGCAGUUCUGCUUCUAGGCCCAGGCGUCGAAUGAAUGGAUCGGUGACAUGAUAGUGUCGUUCGAAGCCCAGCGCACCCCUCUCCUGUGUGAACAAACAAGCACCACACUGACUAGAGCAAACAAAACACUCCUUUUUCCCUUUAAGAGAAGAUUCAAGAACUUUAAAAAUCAAGCGGGGACCUUGCCAGGUAUUGGGGUGUCCAUAGCAUCAGGUACCUGUCCUGCAGUAGGGGGACACCUUUUGCAUCAUCUCCAGGUAGGCUGUUUGUAAUCCUUGCCCCUGAAUUGGUUUAAAAUUAAGUGUAUCUAAUCACCAGGCUCCAGCUAGGCAGCUGAGACAGGGUUUGAGAGGCCCACACUAAGACAGAAUAAGUUGCCUACUUUGGACCACAAACAGAAGAUAGAGAAUAGCUUGGAAACGCCUGUUAUCCCUUGGCAAGGGUUUCAGUAGCAACUCACUCCUGAGGACUGCAGUACUAGACCACAGCUGCUCAGAAGUCUGCCAUUACACAGAAUCGGUUGGACUUGAUGAUCUUAGAGAUCUUCUCCAACUUUAAUGAUUCUAUAAAAUCAUCAAGUCCAACCGCCAACCCAACACCCCCAGGCCUCCUAAACCAUGUCCUGAAGUACCACAUCUGCUUGUAUUUUUAACACCCCCAGGGACGGUGACUCCCCCACCUCUCUGGGCAGCCUGUGCCAGGGCCUGACCACUCUUGCAGUGAAGAUGCUUUUCCUAAUCUCCAAUCUAAACCUCCCUUGGUGCAACUUGAGGCCAUUUCCUCUCACCCUAUCACUUGUUACUUGGGAGCAGACACCAACCCCCUCACUACAGCCUCCUUUCAGGCAGUUGCAGAGAGUGAGAAGGUCUCCCCUCAGCCUCCUCUUCUCCAGGCUAAACAACCCCAGUUCCCUGUGAAUCUGCCCUGAAGCACCACAACCAAGGGGCAAAGUAUUGGGGAAGGCAACUGGACAGCAUCCUUUAGAGAUGGCUUACUUCAUCAGAAUUGGAGUAGGAGCGUGUAGCUGCAGUACCACAGCACAGCCUGUUCUACAGGGAAGAGAACAGCUGCCACAGAACUGCGUCAGUACAAAUGAAGGUGAAGAAAAGCAGGACAGUUGUUUCCCCUGUGAUCUCACAGAGUUCACAGAUGUAUUAGCAGAUGGCUUUGAUGAAAGAAGGCCAACUGCAGAGGCAGACAUGAAGAAAAAGGAAUGCAAGUCGUAUUUUGGAUGGAACAUCUAAUGUCCGAGGAGAUCCCUUUCUAGGACCUGAUCCAGCCUCGGACCUGUCCCAUGCCAUGCUAUAGUCAGGCAAAGACAACUUAAGCCUUCAUUAUCACCAUUUAUAGAUGAGAACAGCAACAUCAAAAAUUACACUUAUGGUACUAGGAACAUGUUACUAGUCACAGAGCAGACACAAAGGACUAGUGUACUACGUUACAGCUCUGCAGACCAAUAUUAGGUAAUGAACUCUACACAACAAAAGCUAUUUGAAAACAAAAUGGAGACAGAUACAAGGGGAUUGGAGGAAAACCAAAUCAAACCAGGCUUUUUGUAGUAACUUUCAUUACAAACUUCAAACCCUUGACAUAUUUUUACAAACAGUAUUCCCAAAACGCUGCUAGGCCCAGUGCAAGGUGCUGCAGUUAUAAUUGCCUUGCUAUCGCAACCUCAGUGGCUUUGUGAGGUCUGUGCAGUAGGAUAUUGCAUUUCCUACAAGGAACUGUCAGACUUAGCAACCUUCCCAAGGUCACACAUGAAAGUCUAACAGAGCAGACAGUGUGAAAAAGUCUCAGGCUAACGCUCUAACCACAGAACCAUCUCUUCCUUGUUAGAGCAGCAAAAUAAAUCCUUGCACGUGGAUCAAAUCACAACCUUAUAAUACAAAGUUUAGUACCAAACUGCAAAGCAAAGUGAGCAUUCAAGCCCCUAGCUCCUUAUGCUGGCCACUAACAGACCACUUUUGUGACUGCUGAUUACCAGCAAAGCUGCAAAUGAUUUAAGGCCUCUGAGCUCAAGUAAUAAUUGCCUAUUGUGUCUGCUGUAGCUAGUCCUUUCACGUUAAGAGAUAUUUCACAAAUGCAGCCAUCAGAUGACUGAUUCAACCACCACAGAAGUUCUUCCCUACACAAAGGAAGCAAGACACCACUCUUUAAAGAAAAAGAGACAGAGAUCAUUAGCUUUACUACAGUCAGAAAAUACCUUUGAUGGCAAGAUCACACGAAGAGACCACAUAAAGCAGCAGACAGAAAACCCAUGAGGGAAGCUAGCUAAGGGUCCUUUAUGGUGCCCAAACACAAGUAGGCAGAUCUCUCUCUUCAACAUUGUACUCAAAAGCAACAGACCUGGUGAUGUCAAACUAGCAUGGUGCGCUCCUGCUAGGGAGGAGAGCUGUAUUCCUGUUAUGCCAUACUUCAGCCCAGCUCUUUGUUAAGGACAGCAAAAGGUCCUAUGUGUCUGUUCUCUUAAGCUUCUUACACAGCUUAUCAAUACGUAAGUAGCAGAGAUCUUUUCAGACGUAAAGGCAACAACAUGAGUAUUUCCCCAUCCAGAGUGAAUGCUGAUUCUCCACCUGCCCCCCACCCAACACAAGUGAACACUUGGCUAACGUACCUUGAUCUGUCUGUGGAUGAUGUCUCUGGUAAUGUUUGCUUUUGCCAUCUUCUUGCAAUGAGGCAAACGAAAAGAAACUAUCGGAAGAGCUGCUGUGCAUCCAAGCAUGCCAACAGAGCAAAGAUCCACACCAAGGGCAUUUAAUUACCUGCAGGACAGAACAGGGAGGGAACAAAGGCAGGCAUACAAACAUAUUAGGCCAUUCAUAUGCAAUGUCAAGUACUUUAUUGUCAAAAAAUAGCGGUGGCUAAGGACUAAAACAUUUUGUAUAAAGGCUCCUUGAAGAAACCCAAGGAUGGGAAGGAACAAUGUAAGACUGAAGAACACCUCACUUAAGAGGCCAUCGCCAGUUUGCACAGUAAUUCAAGACGAACAGAACUCCUGGACUAAAUCAGCCUAGAAAAGCCAUGUUUGGACCCUCAAAAGACCCUCAAAUCCAGGGUAAGCAGCCUGUUUCACAGCUUGCCUCCCACCGCUACAUGUCCACUCACACCCCGUUCCAUUUUUCCCAAACUCGACAACCAACAAAACUUAUUAUAUUGUGAAUAAACAAGGCAUCGACA